GACGAAGGAUGCAAGCGUUAUCCGGAUUCAUUGGGUUUAAAGGGUGCGUAGGCGGCCCGGUAAGUCAGUGGUGAAAUCUCCUUGCUUAACAAGGAAACUGCCAUUGAUACUGCUGGGCUUGAGUACAGAUGCUGUGGGCGGAAUAUGACAUGUAGUGGUGAAAUACAUAGAGAUGUCAUAGAACACCGAUUGCGAAGGCAGCUCACAAAACUGUAACUGACGCUGAGGCACGAAAGCCAGGGGAGCGAACGGG
rnacentral:rRNA from 1 species